AGAGAGGUAGAGCAUCAAAGUUCAACAACUCUCAGCCUUAACAGCAAAACUAUGAAAUACUUAAUAGUUCUGAUGAUUCUGGGCGUGGUUGCGUCAACAAAUGCUAUGAAAUUACAGGAGUAUUUUAAGCAUUUCCUCAUAGUGGGUUGUUCCUCAGCCAAUUCCUCGACAGGCAACGCUUACGAAAUAAUAUGUGGGUCAUGUUUGCGCUACACUAUCGACGUCAUGAAAAUAGACCAAGGAUUGUGUAAAAAUCUUUAAGGCGUUUCUUCGACAGCCAAAGAUACCUGAAAAAAUUCCAAGUGGUUGAAUGUAAAACAGGUUCUCCAAAUUGAAAGAAUAUUCAAAAU